GGUGGCUCAGUGAUAGAGCACUUGCCUUGCAUGCAUGAGACCCUGGGUUCGAUUCCUUAGCACCA
rnacentral:tRNA from 1 species